GAGAGUAAUAACACGGGCGACUGUUGCUUAUGAUGCAACCGUAAUGUCGUCUUUGCUUUCUCAGGUUUCUGGCGGCCUGGAAUAAACUGUCAUGUACUUUUAAGGAUUACUAAAACUACCCAAAAAAUAUGCAUACCGGGAUUUCGAUUGUGGAUCGAUUGAGGAUACUUGUUGUUGUCACACUGGGAUGUUAUGUUUUAUCAUUCAGUGGCGCUUUUGGCUUUCCUUCCGUACUGCGAUCAAAGAAAGACCUCGAAGAAGUAGUGCCAUAUCUGGAUGAUUUACUGAAAGCCAACGCUACGCUCGCGCCGUGUCUGAAAAAUUUCUACCGUUAGUUACGGUAACAGAUUUGCGCGCUUUACUGCGCCAGAAACGGGAUGGCUACGGAGCUUCCUUAGGCAUCAGUGGUUACGGAGCUUCCGUAGGGAGCCGUGAGGGUGAAGCGUACGCCGCCGGAAUGUCACCGACGAUGAUUGCUAUGCUAAUCAAUGCUAUCAACCAAGCCCUUGCUCAGUCAGCUACUACUCCCGCAGCUUCCGGCGGUGGGGAUAACCGCCACCUGCAAGCGCUAAUUCCGGUGCAUCUCCGAACACAGCAGCAUUAAGUACGUUGAAAUAUAUGGACAUUCUGUGGGUAGUUGCCGCUGUGUUUGAUGUUUUUCGUUUUGGUUUAUGUGGGAUGCAGUCAACAGUUUACUUCCACGUACUGUAAGUCUGAUUAAAGACCAAUAAAGCUUUACGAAACG